AGCAGCCGCGGUAAUUCCAGCUCCAAUAGCGUAUAUUAAAGUUGUUGCAGUUAAAAAGCUCGUAGUUGAAUUUCGGGAUCAGAGUGUCGGUCGUGCCUCGGUACGCACUGGUAUUAUUGGUUCCUACCUUCUGAAGAACUGCGAUGUCAUUAAUUUGGUGUCGUGGGGAAUCAGGACUGUUACUUUGAAAAAAUUAGAGUGUUUAAAGCAGGCUUACGCUUGAAUACAUUAGCAUGGAAUAAUGAAAUAGGACGUUUGAUUCUAUUUUGUUGGUUUCUAGGAUUGACGUAAUGAUUAAUAGGGAUAGUUGGGGGCAUUAGUAUUCAAUUGUCAGAGGUGAAAUUCUUGGAUUUAUUGAAGACUAACUACUGCGAAAGCAUUUGCCAAGGAUGUUUUCAUUAAUCAAGAACGAAAGUUAGGGGAUCGAAGACGAUCAGAUACCGUCGUAGUCUUAACCAUAAACUAUGCCGACUAGGGAUCGGAUGAUGUUAAUUUUUUAAUGACUCAUUCGGCGCCUUAA
rnacentral:rRNA from 1 species